AUUGAACGCUGGCGGCAGGCCUAACACAUGCAAGUCGAGCGGAGCGGAGGACGGGUGAGUAAUUCCUAGGAAUCUGCAUGGAAGUGGGGGAUAACGUCCGGAAACGGGCGCUAAUAUGACAUAAUAUCAGAUGAGCCUAGGUAGGAUUAGCUAGGUGGUGGGGUAAAGGCCUACCAAGGCGACGAUCCGUAAAGGGUCAGAGAGGAUGAUCAGGCACACUGUAACUGAGACACGGUCCAGACUCCGACGGUAGGCGGCAGUGGGGAAUAUUGGACAAUGGGCGAAAGCCUGAUCCCGCCAUGCCUCGUGUGUGAAGAAGGUCUUCGGAUUGUAAAGCACUUUAGGUUGGGAGGCGUUACCAACAUAAUAAGCACCGGCUAACUUCGUGCCAGCAGCCGCGGUAAUUC
rnacentral:rRNA from 1 species